rnacentral:rRNA from 1 species
GAUGAACGCUGGCGGCGUGCCUAAUACAUGCAAGUCGAGCGAAUGGAUUAAGAGCUUGCUCUUAUGAAGUUAGCGGCGGACGGGUGAGUAACACGUGGGUAACCUGCCCAUAAGACUGGGAUAACUCCGGGAAACCGGGGCUAAUACCGGAUAACAUUUUGAACCGCAUGGUUCGAAAUUGAAAGGCGGCUUCGGCUGUCACUUAUGGAUGGACCCGCGUCGCAUUAGCUAGUUGGUGAGGUAACGGCUCACCAAGGCAACGAUGCGUAGCCGGCCUGAGAUGGUGAUCGGCCACACUGGGACUGAGACACGGCCCAGACUCCUACGGGAGGCAGCAGUAGGGAAUCUUCCGCAAUGGACGAAAGUCUGACGGAGCAACGCCGCGUGAGUGAUGAAGGCUUUCGGGUCGUAAAACUCUGUUGUUAGGGAAGAACAGGUGCUAGUUGAAUAAGCUGGCACCUUGACGGUACCUAACCAGAAAGCCACGGCUAACUACGUGCCAGCCGCCGCGGUAA